AUUGAACGCUGGCGGCAUGCCUUACACAUGCAAGUCGAACGGUAACAGGUCUUCGGAAGCUGACGAGUGGCGCACGGGUGAGUAAUACAUCGGAACGUGCCCGAUCGUGGGGGAUAACGAGGCGAAAGCUUUGCUAAUACCGCAUACGAUCUACGGAUGAAAGCGGGGGAUCUUCGGACCUCGCGCGGACGGAGCGGCCGAUGGCAGAUUAGGUAGUUGGUGGGAUAAAAGCUUACCAAGCCGACGAUCUGUAGCUGGUCUGAGAGGAUGAUCAGCCACACUGGGACUGAGACACGGCCCAGACUCCUACGGGAGGCAGCAGUGGGGAAUUUUGGACAAUGGGCGAAAGCCUGAUCCAGCCAUGCCGCGUGCAGGAUGAAGGCCUUCGGGUUGUAAACUGCUUUUGUACGGAACGAAAAGCCUCUUUCUAAUAAAGAGGGGUCAUGACGGUACCGUAAGAAUAAGCACCGGCUAACUACGUG
rnacentral:rRNA from 1 species